GUGGGGAAUUUUGGACAAUGGGCGCAAGCCUGAUCCAGCCAUGCCGCGUGCAGGAUGAAGGCCUUCGGGUUGUAAACUGCUUUUGUACGGAACGAAACGGCUCUUUCUAAUAAAGAGGGCUAAUGACGGUACCGUAAGAAUAAGCACCGGCUAACUACGUGCCAGCAGCCGCGGUAAUACGUAGGGUGCGAGCGUUAAUCGGAAUUACUGGGCGUAAAGCUUGCGCAGGCGGUGAUGUAAGACAGAUGUGAAAUCCCCGGGCUCAACCUGGGAACUGCAUUUGUGACUGCAUCGCUGGAGUGCGGGAGAGGGGGAUGGAAUUCCGCGUGUAGCAGUGAAAUGCGUAGAUAUGCGGAGGAACACCGAUGGCGAAGGCAAUCCCCUGGGCGUGCACUGACGCUCAUGCACGAAAGCGUGGGGAGCAAACAGGAUUAGAAACCCCUGUAGUCC
rnacentral:rRNA from 1 species